GUGUCUCCUGUGUGCUCUGUGUAGCCACGGAGAAGAGCAGACAGGGAAGGGGCCACAGGGCUGUGCCCCGGGCCUGUGCCUUGCACGGCUCCUUUGCUGGCCCCAGGGACCCUGAGAAUCUCCUAUAGAGCCACAGCAGCUGUUCUGUCCUGCCUUUCUUUGCAGCCAAGCCUCUUGGUGAAGGCGCUGCAGCUCCUCAACCCCCACCCAGGACUGAGCCUCAGAGAGGUGGUGAGGGUAGGUCAAGGCCUUUCCCCCAGGGAGAGCGGCCAGCUCAGAGCCCAGAGCUCGGCCAGGGCAGCAUCACUGCAGGUGCCAGGACAGAGCCGUGCACGUGUGUGCCCUCGGCCUGCACGAUCCCCUCAGGGCUCCUGCAGCUCAGAGCUGCCUGUGCAGAUCAGCAGAGAUGAGAGAAGCUUCUGUGGCUGUUUAGUUACAGGUGUGUCUGAAGAAAGGAUUUCUCCAGCUCCUGGGCUGGAUGCUGCACACAAGCCUGACUCCCAUCCCAGCGUUCCUCCAACAGAAAAGACCAAAUACACCUCAGACAAGAAAUCCCAGGAGCGAUUUGAAGUCAUGUGGAAAAUGCUGAAGGAAAUGCUUCAGGGAGGACAAGAAGUGGAUGAAGAGGCUGUGCUGAAGGCAGUGUUUCCCGGAGGAAGCAGUGGUUCACUGGCAGCCUCUGCUGCAGGAAGGGAGGCCAUGCCAGGCACAGUCCCAGGAGGUAAUUGCUGUGCCUCUGGGCCUGAGCCCUGCUGAGGCUUGAGCUGCCAUCUCUGCUGCUUGGCAGUGCAGGCACAGCCUGGACAAGACCGGCACAGCCCAGAGGAAUUAUCCCCAGCAGGCUCAGGACAGUCGGCUACUGAUCAGUCCUGUUGGGCUCCCUGCAUGGGAGACACGUCCCAAAACCCAGCAGUGGCUGCAAAAGGGUGCCCGUGGUGGGGAAAGGGCAGAGGGGGAGGUCAAGGCUCCACUGCAUCCUGAGAGGGCCUGGCUCUGUCCCCUUGGGCUGUAGGAGCUGUCCCAGCAGAGGGAGGGCAGGAGGGAUGGAGCGGGGAAGGGAUAUUUGUGGCACUGCCUGCUGUUGUUUUCCCCAGGGCUUUAGGGAGGGUUUUCUCUUUGGGAGGGGAG
rnacentral:lncRNA from 1 species